rnacentral:lncRNA from 1 species
GGAAACAACCUCUUCCUGGUGGCAGUGCAUGAGCUGGGCCACGCGCUGGGGCUGGAGCACUCCAGCAACCCCAAUGCCAUCAUGGCGCCGUUCUACCAGUGGAAGGACAUCGACAACUUCAAGCUGCCCGAGGACGAUCUCCGUGGCAUCCAGCAGCUCUACGGUACCCCAGACGGUCAGCCACAGCCUACCCAGCCUCUCCCCACUGUGACGCCACGGCGG